GAGUGCCUACGGGACGCAGCAGUGGGGGAUAUUGCACAAUGGGGGAAACCCUGAUGCAGCGACGCCGCGUGAGCGAUGAAGUAUUUCGGUAUGUAAAGCUCUAUCAGCAGGGAAGAAAAUGACGGUACCUGACUAAGAAGCCCCGGCUAACUACGUGCCAGCAGCCGCGGUAAUACGUAGGGGGCAAGCGUUAUCCGGAUUUACUGGGUGUAAAGGGAGCGUAGACGGCAGUGCAAGUCUGAAGUGAAAUCCCGGGGCCCAACCCCGGAACUGCUCUGGAAACUGUGCGGCUAGAGUACUGGAGG
rnacentral:rRNA from 1 species